GGAUUCUCUUUCUUCUAGAUUUAAUUUCUAUUUGAAUAUGAUUCAAAAUAGGAUAAAAUUCUACCUGAUACGGCAUGUAAAGAAAUUUUUGUGUGACAAAAAAUUUUGGAAAAGAAUUGGCAUGCGCUAAUUUGUGUGGGAGUUCUUUUCUUGCUGCACAACUUCAUCUCCAUGCCCUUCUAACCCUUGGUUUGGAUUUGAACACCUAAGAUCAAAUAAGAUUUGAUCUUUUAGGGCAUUAAGAAGAGGUUAUGCAUGAGAUAAUAAAAAAAGUGUGA
rnacentral:lncRNA from 1 species